rnacentral:tRNA from 1 species
GGUGGUAUAGCUUAGUGGGAGAGUGUGUGCUUAGCAUGCACGUGGUCCUAGCUUCAAUCCCCAGUACCUCUA